UACCCCUGAAAGAUAAAAAAUUUAACGAGACACUUGAUGCAAUAUGCAUGUCAAUAUAGAUACACUUUGGACCAUACAGGCUUCAUUCCACUUUCUCUUUUUAUUUUUCUUUUUUUUAUACUUUUUACUGUUAUCGAUUACAUAUUAUAUUUAUUACAUGCAAAUUCAUCAAGUGUCUGCAAUUCACAUAACAUACCUGAAAAAAAGAACAAUUUGACUCAUCUAAACACUAAGGCAUACAAAACAGGCAAAUUAACAAUCAU
rnacentral:lncRNA from 1 species